GGGGCCUACGGGAGGCAGCAGUGGGGAAUUUUCCGCAAUGGGCGAAAGCCUGACGGAGCAAUACCGCGUGAGGGAAGACGGCCCAUGGGUUGUGAACCUCUUUUUUCAGGGAGGAAUAAAUGACGUGUACCUGAAGAAUAAGCAUCGGCUAACUCCGUGCCAGCAGCCGCGGUAAGACGGAGGAUGCAAGUGUUAUCCGGAAUCACUGGGCGUAAAGCGUCUGUAGGUUGUUAAACAAGUCAACUGUUAAAUCUUGAGGCUUAACUUCAAAAUCGCAGUCGAAACUAUUUGACUAGAGUAUAGUAGGGGUAAAGGGAAUUUCCAGUGGAGCGGUGAAAUGCGUAGAUAUUGGAAAGAACACCGAUGGCGAAGGCACUUUACUGGGCUAUUACUGACACUCAGAGACGAAAGCUAGGGUAGCAAAUGGGAUUAGAUACCCCAGUAGUCCUAGCCGUAAACAAUGGAUACUAGAUGUUGAACAGAUCGACCUGUGCAGUAUCAAAGCUAACGCGUUAAGUAUCCCGCCUGGGAAGUAUGCUCGCAAGGGUGAAACUCAAAGGAAUUGACGGGG
rnacentral:rRNA from 1 species